rnacentral:SRP_RNA from 2 species
UAGCGGGCUUAUUGCAUUACUUAAAAUGUCAAUCUGGUCAGGUCGGAAACGGAGCAGCCAAGGCAAUUGAUGGUAAGUGUAAGUGUAGCCCGCACAGU